UGUAGAAUUGUUUUGUGCCUUUCCCAUUAGGGAUAAAUUGAAAAAAAAAGAAUUGUUUUGUCUUUACUGUUCCAUUUCGAAGUUAAAAAAAAAUUUAAUGUAUUUUUGAAGCGAAACUUUAUUGGCGGCGUUGGAAAAAAAAUACCGUCACCUUUUUCUGUUACGCGCCAUCUUUUUCUUGUCCCGACCACCUUUGAUUCGAAAAGAUUCGAAGCCAUAAAUAUAUAAUAACGAUAACAAUGAUAUUAUUAAUUCUAUUACAAUUAAUGAAAUUCGGUAAGAACUUAAUCUAAUAUUUCAGCCAUUUAAUAAAUCGUCUACACAGCAAUGACAAUCAGUGGUAGGCAAGCAAACUUUACAUUUCACUAACAACAGUUGCAACUUGGAACUCGCAUUAAAUAAAAAAUUCGAUGUUUUAUUAAAAGUUAUGAAAUGGAAUGGUCUCGCGAGAAAACCUUAAAAUUAGUCAGAUUACUUCAAGUAAAUGCAGAGCUAUGGAAUCCUAGCAAUUGUGAAACUAGGUGCGAAAAACAAAAACUCAAACAAGACCUUCGUUCGAUUGCAAAUGUAUGUAUUUAGAAAAUUGGUUUUCGACAUAACAAAGAAUAUACAGCAUUUGAGAAUUCAAUAUAACAGAAUUAACUCGAGAGGCCAUUCUCAAGAUCCAAAUGAUAGAUAUGCUACAAAUUGGUAUGCCUAUGAUUGCUUACACUUUUUAAAGGACUCAAAAAAGCCAUACAGACUUGUUCAUUUGGAUAUAUAUAAAUUUGACAAUACAUUAACUAAUAAUGCAAUAUCACCUGAUGAGACUUAAAAUAAUGCCUUAUCACCAGCACCUAAAAUGGCAAGAAGUGAUAAUAUAUUGGAUUCCGACUUAGUUUACUUGUCAACAAAGAGAGAUGAAUUUUCAUUAUUUGGUAUACAUUGCAAAUGAACUGCGUUCACUAAAAUGUGAAAGAAG